rnacentral:rRNA from 1 species
UACGAAGGGUGCAAGCGUUAAUCGGAAUUACUGGGCUUAAAGGGUGCGUAGGCGGUUCGUUAAGUCUGUCGUGAAAUCUCCGGGCUCAACCUGGGAAUGGCGAUGGAUACUGGCGAGCUAGAGUGUGUCAGAGGAUGGUGGAAUUCCCGGUGUAGCGGUGAAAUGCGUAGAGAUCGGGAGGAACAUCAGUGGCGAAGGUGAGCAUCUGGGACAACACUGACGCUGAAGCACGAAAGCGUGGGGAGCAAACAGG